rnacentral:snoRNA from 1 species
AGGCAAUUAAGCCGAGCACCUGCCCCCACCCCAUGGCGCCCAACAGCAGCCCCUGGGCAGUGUAUGCGGCCUGUUGCUUGUCCAGGCUGCCCUAAGGGGCCCUGGAGGCAGCC